rnacentral:rRNA from 1 species
CAAGUAAUUUAUUAAUUUAAUAAAAAAUAUUUAAGAUGUAUAAUAAAUAAGUUAGUACAGUAAUGGAUAGUCAUUUGAUUAAAGUAGAAUUUCGUACCUUUUGCAUUAUGGGUUUACAAGGUAUAAUUUUAAUAGUAA